GCCUUACACAUGCAAGUCGAACGGUAACGCGGGGCAACCUGGCGACGAGUGGCGAACGGGUGAGUAAUGCAUCGGAACGUGCCCAACAGUGGGGGAUAGCCCGGCGAAAGCCGGAUUAAUACCGCAUACGACCUACGGGUGAAAGCGGGGGACCGCAAGGCCUCGCGCUGUUGGAGCGGCCGAUGUCAGAUUAGGUAGUUGGUGGGGUAAAGGCCUACCAAGCCUACGAUCUGUAGCUGGUCUGAGAGGACGACCAGCCACACUGGGACUGAGACACGGCCCAGACUCCUACGGGAGGCAGCAGUGGGGAAUUUUGGACAAUGGGGGCAACCCUGAUCCAGCCAUGCCGCGUGCGGGAAGAAGGCCUUCGGGUUGUAAACCGCUUUUGUCAGGGAAGAAAUCUCCUGGGCUAACACCUCGGGGGGAUGACGGUACCUGGAGAAUAAGCACCGGCUAACUACGUGCCAGCAGCCGCGGUAAUACGUAGGGUGCAAGCGUUAAUCGGAAU
rnacentral:rRNA from 1 species